AGACGGGGGGUGCUAGCGUUGUUCGGAAUUACUGGGCGUAAAGGGCGCGUAGGCGGCUCUGCGAGUCGGGCGUGAAAUCCCGGGGCUCAACCCCGGAACGGCGCUCGAUACUGCGGGGCUGGAGACCGGAAGAGGAGGGUGGAAUUCCCAGUGUAGAGGUGAAAUUCGUAGAUAUUGGGAGGAACACCGGUGGCGAAAGCGGCUCUCUGGUCCGGUUCUGACGCUGAGGCGCGAAAACGUGGGGAGCAGACAGGAUUAGAAACCCUAGUAGUCC
rnacentral:rRNA from 1 species